AGCGCUGUAGCUCAGUGGCAGAGCAAUUUGCAUGGUGUGCAGAAGGUCCCAGGCUCAAUCCCUAGGUUGUGUCU